rnacentral:rRNA from 1 species
AACGCUAGCGGCAGGCUUAAUACAUGCAAGUCGAGGGGCAGUCAAGGUACACGAAAGUGUAUUGUUGGCGACCGGCGGACGGGUGAGUAAUAGGUAGGUAACCUACCUCAUUACUGAGGCAUAGCUGGGAGAAAUUCCAGGUAAUUCCUCAUGAGGUUAUAUGACACAUGUGAUAUAAUCAAAGGUAUCGCAAGGUACUGGUAUGAGAUGGGCUUACUGACCAUUAGCUAGUUGGUGAGAUAAGAGCUCACCAAGGCGAAGAUGGUUAGGGGUUUUGAGAGAGAGAUCCCCCACAUUGGAACUGAGAUACGGUCCAGACUCCUACGGGAGGCAGCAGUAGGGAAUAUUGGGCAAUGGGCGGAAGCCUGACCCAGCCAUGCCGCGUGAAGGAAGACGGCCUUAUGGGUUGUAAACUUCUUUACUAUGCGACUAACUAGAUUUACGAGAUAAUUCUAUAGAAUGUAGCAUAGCAAAAAGCACCGGCUAACUCCGUG